GCUCCAAAUGAGUAACCAGCUGCAGGUUAAUUACUGCAUAACACUUUUCUAAUAUUAGAGCCUUCUUUGGACACCUUAGUUGUAAUUUAUGCACUGGAACUAAAGGGAACCUUCAUCUAAGACAGAUAGUAGUGCAGACACUUCAUCACUCC